rnacentral:lncRNA from 1 species
AUUACGUGACAAUGACUGGAAGUGAGCAUGAUCAACUUUUGGCCACUUCGGCGGAAACCGACUUACGAGCCAGAUUCUAAACCAUGCAGAGGCAAAUUUAUUUAUUUUAAGUUUUCUUUUAUUUUAUUUAAAAUUAUAUAUUUAAAUUAUUAUUUUUAAUUUUAGCUUUAAUUUUUUUUAAAAAAUAAUCACUAUUCUAUAUACAUUUUGUUAAUUGAAAUAUAUAAAAAAUAGUUGAAA